AGAGCGAACGCUGGCGGCAGGCCUAACACAUGCAAGUCGAGCGCCCGUAGCAAUACGGGAGCGGCAGACGGGAUAGUAACACGUGGGAACGCGCCCUUCGGUUCGGAAUAACUCAGGGAAACUUGAGCUAAUACCGGAUACGCCCUUACGGGGAAAGAUUUAUUGCCGAAGGAACGGCCCGCGUCCGAUUAGCUAGUUGGUGAGGUAAUGGCUCACCAGGGCGACGAUCGGUAGCUGGUCUGAGAGGAUGACCAGCAUCACUGGGACUGAGACACGGCCCAGACUCCUACGGGAGGCAGCAGUGGGGAAUAUUGGACAAUGGGCGCAAGCCUGAUCCAGCCAUGCCGCGUGGAUGAUGAAGGCCUUAGGGUUGUAAAGUCCUUUUAACGGGAAGAUAAUGACGGUACCCGUAGAAUAAGCCCCGGCUAACUUCGUGCCAGCAGCCGC
rnacentral:rRNA from 1 species